UACAGAGGGGGCAAGCGUUAUUCGGAAUUACUGGGCGUAAAGGGCGCGUAGGCGGUUUCUUAAGUCAGAUGUGCAAUCCCCGAGCUCAACUUGGGAACUGCGUCUGAGACUGGAAGGCUAGAGUACUGGAGAGGGUGGUGGAAUUCCUCGUGUAGCGGUGUAAUGCGUAGAGAUGAGGAGGAACACCAGUGGCGAAGGCGGCCACCUGGACAGUAACUGACGCUGAGGCGCGAAAGUGUGGGUAGCAAACAGG
rnacentral:rRNA from 1 species